AGAGAACGCUGGCGGCAGGCCUAACACAUGCAAGUCGAACGAACCUUUCGGGGUUAGUGGCGGACGGGUGAGUAACACGUGGGAACGUGCCUUUAGGUUCGGAAUAACUCAGGGAAACUUGUGCUAAUACCGAAUGUGCCCUUCGGGGGAAAGAUUUAUCGCCUUUAGAGCGGCCCGCGUCUGAUUAGCUAGUUGGUUGAGGUAAUGGCUCACCAAGGCGACGAUCAGUAGCUGGUCUGAGAGGAUGAUCAGCCACAUUGGGACUGAGACACGGCCCAAACUCCUACGGGAAGCAGCAGUGGGGAAUCUUGCGCAAUGGGCGAAAGCCUGACGCAGCCAUGCCGCGUGAAUGAUGAAGGUCUUAGGAUUGUAAAAUUCUUUCACCGGGGACGAUAAUGACGGUACCCGGAGAAGAAGCCCCGGCUAACUUCGUG
rnacentral:rRNA from 1 species